GGAACGUCACUUUUCUUGAAACAGCUGAUUCAUAACUUCACAUUACCAAGAGACAUGAUGGUAAAACAUUAAACUAUCCAAAAUCUAACAAAUGAUUAGUUGUUUACCUUUUCUCUUCGCACUAACUGAAGUUGUUAACGAACCAGUGCUUCUCGUGUCCUAUAUUCCCACUUUAUCCUUUCGUUCUUGUUCUAAUCCAAAGAGCAAGAUUGUCGUCAGUCACUUAUUUUCGUGGUGACAGGAGAGGGAGAAGCGGUUCAGCACGCAGGGGGCUUUUGCGGAAACCAUAGUGACAUCAAAGUUUAGAAUCUUUGAUUUGAGAUUGAAAGCAACAAUUAAAUCACCAACUUAUUUGACGGACAAUUAUUCAAACCAAAACAUACGGAUGUUGAAUGUAUACAUCAUCAAUCUGACAGCUUAUGGAAUAAAAAUCACCAAAACAAGUUAAGAUCUGUUGACCUUUAGCUACUAUCGAUCUUGAUUCGUUUUCGAGUGUCUAACGGUUUUAGUUCAAUUUUGAGAUCUUUUUGGUACGUACGAGCUUAAACGUAAAGAAAACACAAGAUUGUUUACCCAGACUUCGUUGCCUACUGUCUGGGGAGAGAUCGAAACUCUCAAGCUUUCACUAUAUUCUUUAGAUCGGUACAAAGUCUCGGUAUUACCUCAUACUCUCCGAAAUACACCACAGGUAAUCGGAAUCUCUAUAGAAGCAGCUGAGGAAUCUUCUCCGCCGGUUCCUUGCUCUUCUAUCACGAGAUGAGACUCUCUUUCUCUUCGAUCUCAACAACCUUCGUAUCGCCUCUCUCUCUGAUCUGUUUUCUCUGUUUUCAGAUUAUGAUCGCACCAACGAGAUGAAGCUGACUCACCAACCGUUAUAACGGCCUCACCUAACUCUCUCAAAAGGUGACGCGGCUAACGGGCUGUUAUAGGCCCAAUAGGAAGAACUAAGCGCCGAGCAUUGGGCUUGUGUGAAGUUGAAGCCCAAACAACAAAACUCCACCUCUUCGACUUCAGACAGCCCCUCAAACGCUUCGUGACUUCUCUCUCUGUCUGUCGCUGUUUAGUAUUCUCCUUUUGACCUUCAUGAAUCCAGUGUUUCUCCUGAUUACCUCGAAGAUCAAUCAAACACUCUUUCCUUUCAGCUUAUCCCAUUGUCCUGAAUCAAUUCACCUUCUUUCCCCUCUGACCUCUGAAUCUCAAACUCUAUAUGUUGAUUCAACAUUGGUUGAACCCUGCAAUUGAAGCCCCACCAUUUGGUAUGCUUCCCUUUCCUCUCAGGUAACUCCACCUCCUUAGUUAUCUUAGUGUACUCUGCAAACCCUUUUAGAGAUCACCUAUGUGACACCAGCUAAAAACACAAGCUAAUGCUCUCUAAUUUUGCGAGGUAUCACUUCCUUGGAGUUACCUGGACCUGUAGUCGCACUCAGGCGACAUUCAAUCCUUCACGGCAUAGCUGGAACUUGGACCCAGGUACCGUUUUAGUCAAAAAAUCUGCUAGGUUGAUAGACGUGUGAAUCUUAGUUAUAGACACCCAUCCUUUAGCAACAAUGUCUCUGAUGAAAUGGAAGUCUCGGUCCAUAUGUUUAGUACGUUCAUGAUGUACUGAAUUCUUCGAUAAUGCGAUUGCACUUUGAGAGUCACAGUGUAUCCUUACACUGUUCUGCUCAAAUCCCAUCUCUGUGCAAAUGCCUCUCAACCAAAUCGCUUCUUUCACAGCCAGGGUCAGAGCCAUGUACUCUGCCUCUGUGGUUGAAAGAGCCACCACAGAUUGUAAACCUGACUUCCAAGAGACUGUGUUUCCUCCAAACUUGAAGACAAUUCCUGAUACUGACCUUCGCUUAUCCAAAUCUGUAGAGUAGUCAGAAUCUGAAUAACCCUCAAUGCUGAAAUCUGAACUUCUCCUGAACGUCAAACACAUAUCAUAAGCUCCUCUCACGUAUCUUAGAACCCACUUAGCAGCCUCCCAAUGCUCUCGACUAGGGUGUGACAUAAACCGGCUGAUCAAACCAACAGCAAACCCCAAAUCUGGACGAGAGCCAAUCAUUGCAUACAUAAGACUUCCCACAACACUAGCGUAUGGCAGAUUCUUCAUAUAUUCAUAUUCCUCAGCUCUCUCCUUAGGAUGUAAGCUUUGUAGUUUGAAGUGGGACGCUGUGGGGGUAACGACAGACUUAGCUUCAAACAUCCCGAAUGUCCUAAGAACUUUCUCCAGGUACUUCUGUUGAGAUAAUAUCAAAGUUCCCGCUUCCCUGUCCCAAACGAUGUCCAUCCCUAAAAUUCUCGAAGCCUUCCCUAAAUCUUUCAUUUCGAACUCACAACUCAAACUGUUCUUUAAGUCUCGAAUUACUUUCGGGUUUCCAGAGGCAAUCAGCAUGUCAUCCACAUAUAACAACAAGUAGACCGCCUUACUUGUAUUCACAUCUUUCAUGUAAACACACGAGUCAAAUUGACUCUUCUGAAAAUCCUGCUUCUUCAUAAAACUGUCGAAUUUCAAAUUCCAUUGCCUAGGCGACUGUUUCUGUCCAUACAAGGAUUUUUUCAACAAACAGACUUUGUUUUCAUCCCCUUUCUUCACAUAUCCUUCAGGCUGCUCCAUCAGUAUUCUCUCCUCCAAUUCACCAUGCAAAAAAGCCGUUUUUACAUCCAUCUGUUCCAACUCGUAGUCCAGAUUUACCACUAUUGAGAGGAGAAUCCGGAUUGAAACAUGUUUUACAACUGGAGAGAAUAUUUCAUUGUAAUCAAUCCCCUCCUUCUGAGAGUAACCUUUAGCAACCACUCUACCCUUAAACCGUCUGUCUUCUACUCCAGGUAUACCUGGCUUCAACUUGAAGAUCCAUUUGCAUCCUACCAUCUUCUGGUUCUUUGGUCUUUCAACAAGAACCCAUGUGCCAUUCUUCUCAAGUGAAAACAUUUCUUCAUUGGCUGCUUCUUUCUAAAAAAUUUUCUCUUUACAUUCCAUUGCCUCCUUGUAUGACUUAGGUUCCUCUAUCUCGAGUUCAUCAGCUACAAUCAGCGCAUAAGCAACUAGAUUUGCAUCAUCAAAUCUUGAAAGAGGUUUCACAUUUUUCCUUCUUACCCUGUCUCUGGCGAGUACAUAUUCGUCUAGUGACUGAACGUUUUGAUCAGACUUGUGUUCUCCAUCCUGAGAAUCGUCUGAAUCCGAAACAGGCAAGUCAGUAGACUCUGGAUCAAAAUCUUCUGAGUUAUCUGAGUCUGAGAUAUCUCCACCUUGACCCAAAGUCUCUCCAAUCUCAAAACUGUUUUGAGAUGGUCCUAUUAUCAGAUCAUUGCUGAAUGUUACUCGCUUAUUCGUCUUAACUUCUUUUGGUACUGAUGCAGCCUUCUCUGUAGACUUAGCGUUCUUGGAUUCCACGGUAUCUUUGAACACUUCUUCCUCAUGAAACACGACGUUUCUGCUGGUUACACACUUACCUUCUUCAGCAAUCCACACACGAUAGCCUUUUACCCCAAAUGGGUAUCCAACAAACGUUCCUUUAAUAGCUCUAGGACUUGUCUUUUCUUGGAUAGUAUGAACAUAGGCUGAGCAGCCAAACCUCCUCAGAUGUGACAAGUCUGGCUUUUGACCUGACCAUAGUUCCUCCGGUAGCUUAAAACCAAUAGUGGAAUUCGGAGUUCUAUUUAUCAGAGAGACCGCAGUAGAUGUGGACUCUGCCCAAAAUUCUGAUCCCAGUCCAGUCUCAGCCAAUAUACUUCUUACCUUAUCCAUUAUUGUUCGGUUCAUCCUUUCCGACACACCAUUUUGCUGUGGGGUGUAGAUGCAUGUACGAUGACGUCGUAGUCCUGACUCUUUGCAUAACCCAUCAAACCUUGAGUUACAAAACUCCAAACCAUUAUCAGUGCGCAAGCAUUUGAUUUUCUUUCCUGUUUGGGUUUCCACAGCCUCUUUCCAUUCCUUGAACUUCUCAAAAGCUUCGUCUUUUGUUCUUAAAAAAUAUACCCAUACCUUUUUAGAGAAGUCGUCGAUAAAGCUUACAAAGUAUUUACAGCCUCCUAAGCUUUCUGGUGUAGUCGGAGAACCCCAUAAGUCUGAGUGGACAUAGUCCAGAAUAGCCGUAGUCGUGUGCCUAGCAGUAGGGAAACUCAGUUUGUGUGAUUUCCCCAAUACACAGCUUUCGCAAAACUCCAGUUUAUCCAUCUCCUUCAGCUGAAUGUAUUUUUCUUUGCUUAGCACAUUCAUGUUUUUAACGCUCAUAUGUCCAAGUCUGGAAUGCCACAGCUUUGUCAUAUCAUGUUCUGCUUUAGUGAUGUUAGCUUCACACAUCGAUACCUUUCCUUGAAGAUAGUAUAACCCGUCUCUGUAAUUUCCUGUGAUAACCGUUUGCCCAUCUUUGAAGAACUCAAUUCUGAAACCACCGCCUUCAUAUGUACACCCAGCCUUCUCUAGAAGUCCAUAUGAUAUCAGAUUUCUACUAAUACUUGACAUGUAUCUCACAUCUUUCAAAAUUACUUCAACUCCAUCCUCAUUUGUUAUUCGAAUUUUCCCAAUUCCCUUAACUUCACUUUGAGUAUUGUUUGCCAUGAGAACUUUUCCACCUUCUAGUUCUUUGAAGUCAAACAAGACUUUUCUCUGAGGUGUGAUAUGGAACGAACAGCCUGAGUCCAGUACCCAUUCCUCCUUGGUAUCGUGGACACUCACAUUGAGUACAAUAGGUUGCUUCGGUCCUGAAGCUACAUUCACAGAACUUGAGGCUUCGUUCUUCUUAGCCUGAUUGUUCCAAUUUUGCGGACAUUCCCUUUUCCAGUGUCCAUCCUUUCCACAGAUGAAGCAUCCAGUUUUAGUUGAGUUUCUGUUUGAUCUUGACCUGGACUUAGACCUGCCAUCAUGGGACUUGGACCUUCCUUUCGUGUAGUUUCCAUUUCCUCUAUUUCCCUUUUCCUUUUGUCUGCCUCGAGACUCAACAUACAGUCCCUCUGAGUUAGACUUAGCUUUUCCCAAGAGACCUCGUUGUUUCAACUCUAUCUCCUUUGCAUAUGCUGAAGUAGUCACAUCUUGUACCGUUAAUGUGUCUUUUCCAGUUCCAUACUUCAACGUAUGGACCAGUGCCUCAUACUGCGGCGGUAGGCUUGUCAGUAUUUGUAUAGCCUGAUCUUCAUCACUGACUUGUAUGUCGAGGCUUGCCAGGUCGCUUAUCAGCUUCAAGAAACUGUCUAGGUUCUCUUCAAUGCUCUUAGAUUCCUCCAUCUUGUAACUCGCAAACUGCUGCUUCAAGUAGAUGCGAUUUGGUAACGUCUUAGUUUGAUAGUCACGUUCCAAAGCUUUCCACAUUUCUAGAGCCGUAGGUUCUGUCAUCACCUUCCUUAGAAUCAUGUCACUCAAACACGUUCCCAUUAGAUUCUUUGCUUUUGUAUCCUUUGCAACCUUGACGGGAUCAAGAACUGGUUCUGCACCUUCUUCAAGUUUCUCAGAACUCUUAUAGAGAGUGGCAUUUUCUUCCAGCGCAGAUGCUAGCCCCUGAAUCUCGAGCUGACCCAGCAGUUUGUAUUUCCACAAUCCAAAAUCUCCCUUACCAUCGAACUUCUCCAUCUCGAAACGGCCUCGUGUAGGCUCCAUCGAAUACUGAUCUGUUGCCAUUGCUUCCGCUUCAAGAGAUCAGAUCCUCUAAACAACAACUCUCUCUGCAGUCACCUGCCACAUUCACAGCUCACCAUAGCAACACAACCAAGCAAACCAAUAGCUCUGAUACCACUUGUUGACCUUUAGCUACUAUCGAUCUUGAUUCGUUUUCGAGUGUCUAACGGUUUUAGUUCAAUUUCGAGAUCUUCUUGGUACGUACGAGCUUAAACGUAAAGAAAACACAAGAUUGUUUACCCAGACUUCGUUGCCUACUGUCUGGGGAGAGAUCGAAACUCUCAAGCUUUCACUAUAUUCUUUAGAUCGGUACAAAGUCUCAGUAUUACCUCAUACUCUCCGAAAUACACCACAGGUAAUCGGAAUCUCUAUAGAAGCAGCUGAAGAAUCUUCUCCGCCGGUUCCUUGCUCUUCUAUCACGAGAUGAGACUCUCUUUCUCUUUGAUCUCAACAACCUUCGUAUCGCCUCUCUCUCUGAUCUGUUUUCUCUGUUUUCAGAUUAUGAUCACACCAAGGAGAUGAAGCUGACUCACCAACCGUUAUAACGGCCUCACCUAACUCUCUCAAAAGGUAACGCGGCUAACGGGCUGUUAUAGGCCCAAUAGGAAGAACUAAGUGCCGAGCAUUGGGCUCGUGUGAAGUUGAAGCCCAAACAACAAGAUCUAUGAUAUACGUUUCUUAGAAGAUGAAAUCCAUUGUCCAAAAGAUGAACCCAAAAAUUUUGAUUGUCACCGCAGAUGAAACUCCUAGAAACAUUACGAACUUUCAGGGGAAGAUUGGCUUACAUGAACGUAGCUACCGUGUGAGAUGGAUAGUGUUGCCGAUUGAGUUCUGUAAGGAAGGAAGACAAUG
rnacentral:lncRNA from 1 species